UACAGAGGGGGCAGGCGUUGUUCGGAAUUACUGGGCGUAAAGGGCGCGUAGGCGGCCUGUUAAGUCGGACGUGAAAGCCCCCGGCUCAACUGGGGAGUGUCGUGCGAUACGGUCGGACUGGAGGCCAGUAGGGGGAUGCGGAAUUCCGGGUGUAGUGGUGGAAUGCGUAGAGAUCCGGAGGAACACCAGCGGCGAAGGCGGCAUCCUGGACUGGUCCUGACACUCAUGAGCGAAAGCGUGGGGAGCGAUCCGG
rnacentral:rRNA from 1 species